rnacentral:rRNA from 1 species
UACGGGGGGUGCAAACGUUGCUCGGAAUUAUUGGGCGUAAAGCGCACGUAGGCGGUCUUGUAAGUCGGGUGUGAAAGCCCGGGGCUUAACCCCGGAAGUGCACUCGAAACUGCAAGGCUUGAGUAUGGAAGAGGGUCUCGGAAUUCCCGGUGUAGAGGUGAAAUUCGUAGAUAUCGGGAGGAACACCAGUGGCGAAGGCGGAGACCUGGGCCAAUACUGACGCUGAGGUGCGAAAGCGUGGGGAGCAAAACAGG